GGCGGCUAUGCAGGAGGCGGCGGCUAUGCAGGAGGCGGCGGCUAUGCAGGAGGCGGCAGCUAUGCAGGAGACGGCGGCUAUGCAGGAGGAAGCGGCAGCUUUAAUAUUAGAGGAGACGGGAGCUAUCCAGGAGGAGGCGGCUUUAAUUAUGGAGCAGAAGACGGCAGCUUCAAUAUUAGAGGAGGCAUCACCUUAAACUAUGGAGGAGGUGGUUUCAACUACGGAUGAGGCGACGGCCGCUUGAACAAUGGACGAGGAGGAGAAGGAGGAUUCAACUGUGUAGGAGGCAAUGGCUGUGGCUUUACUGGGAGACCAUUAAAAAAAAAAAAGUGCUACUGCAGAGAAUUGCUUAUAUGUUCCGUUUCCCGAGAGAUGAAGAUUAAGUAAAUCGUGCGUGGGAAUUUACAG